rnacentral:lncRNA from 1 species
UGGGUUUCUAAGAUUCCAUUGUGGUGGCUUUCCAACUUUAUUCUUGCUGUAGCUUCUGGCACUUUAGCCAAAGCGUUCACUCUUUUGGCUUGAGCUUGCUAGCCUUAAGGUCGGUUUAUACCUUAAGUUUAGUUCUAGUGCUUUCCUUCCAUUUAAGGGUUUCCUCUAUUUCUUUCAUUCUAUUUCCUUUUUCUUUACCUCCAUCUUGAGGUGGUGUACAUAUCUUGUUUGUGUGUGAACUUUUUACUUCUCCAUUUGUUGUAGUGACUCGGUGGUGAGAGUCUCGUUCAUUGCUUGUUUCUUCAUAAUAUCUCCCUGGUUUACUAGGGGAAUUGAAUAUCUCAUGACGCGAUUCAUUUACGAACUCCUUUACGCAUUUCUCAUUAUUAUCCACCAUGUAGACCACAUAUUGACAGUUGGUUGAAAACUUCAUCAUACUCACUAUCUGCUCCAGUUCUU